rnacentral:rRNA from 1 species
UACGUAGGGGGCAAGCGUUGUCCGGAAUCAUUGGGCGUAAAGAGCGCGUAGGCGGCCCUGUAAGUCCGCUGUGAAAGUCAAGGGCUCAACCCUUGAAUGCCGGUGGAUACUGCAGGGCUAGAGUCCGGAAGAGGCGAGUGGAAUUCCUGGUGUAGCGGUGAAAUGCGCAGAUAUCAGGAGGAACACCGAUGGCGAAGGCAGGUCUCUGGGCCAUAACUGACGCUGAGAAGCGAAAGCAUGGGGAGCGAACGGG